CUAAUACUCUCUCUGUUCUGAAUUACUUGUCGCACGUAUGGAUGUAUAUAUAUGCAUUUUAGUUCUAGAUACAUCCAUUUCAGCGGCGAGUAAUUUGGAAUGGAGGGAGUAGCAG
rnacentral:pre_miRNA from 1 species